CAAGUUGGCUGGGUGAUCGCGGUUGGGCGUCUGUGACGUCUGGCUGAGGAAAGUCCGCACUCCAUAGAGCACGGUGCCGGCUAACGGCCGGGCGGGGUAACCCGACGGAACAGUGCAACAGAGAGGUGUAUUGCGGCAAAUGCUCCGGCAUUUGCAUGUGAGGGUGAAACGGUGGUGUAAGAGACCACCGGCAGCGGCCGUAAUGUCGCUGGCCAGGCAAACCCCACCAGGAGCAAGACCAAGCAGGGCGAAGGGGCUGCUCGUCCCGUCUGACGUCCGGGUAGGUCGCAUGAGGGUGGCAGCAAUGUCAUUCCUAGAUAGAUGAUCACUGUGUUUGUGGGCAAGCUCAGCUUGCCUGGCAAACAAGACAGAAUGCGGCUUAUAGGCUGACUUGGCGU
rnacentral:RNase_P_RNA from 1 species